GUACAUUAGUGCUUGCGCACGACAAUAAAUUUCAUUACAUUCGAGUUUGUGUAAAAUCCUCUGCCGGCCGAAGCUAGCAGAGGCCAAAGGUUCACAGGGUAUUGGAUGAAAGUCACCAACGUGCACUUGCUCUGGAGAGCCAGCACCGAAGGCAACGAUUCACAAUCACUAAUGAUCCUUCCGCAGGUUCACCUACGGAAA
rnacentral:misc_RNA from 1 species